rnacentral:rRNA from 11 species
AUGCCUACGGCCAUACCACCCUGAAUACGCCCGAUUUCAUCUGAUCUUGGAAGCUAAGCAGGGUCGGGCCUGGUUAGUUGGAUGG